GAUGGCGCUGGAGAUGGUUUUGGGGGUGAUGGUGAGGGUGGAAAUGGUGCAGGAGUUGACUUUGGAGGUGACGGUGAAGGUGAGGGUUUUGGAGAUGGAGUCUGUGAUGAUUUUGGAGAUGGCGCUGGAGAUGGUUUUGGGGGCGAUGGUGAGGGUGGAAAUGGUGCGGGAGUUGACUUUGGAGGUGAGGAUGAGGGUGAGGGUUUUGGUGGAGAUGGUGUGGGAGAUGGCUUUGAAGGCGAUGGUGUUGACUUUGGAGAUGGCGUGGGAGAUGGUUUUGGAGUGGUAGAAGGCGUAGUGUGUGGUGGGGGUGAGGCCUUGUCGCCUGGAGGACUUGAUGGAGAGGGAGAGGGUGUUGAUGCACCACCCCCACACUUGGCCUUGCUACAAUCAACUGGCCGGCUAACCACCGGAUUGCAAGUUGCUGCGGACUUCUGUUUUGGGCGGUCUGGUAAACAGUUGCUUGUAUCAUCCAGCGUGAUGUCUGUCCUGGAAGGCGGUUCGCAUGCUUUGGCUUCACCUUUGAAGUAGUUGUAGGAGAAUGUGAAAUUGGACAAGCUAGACAAGUUGCAUAUGCUAUCUGACACAAAUCCUGUCAGCGUGUUAUGGGCAACAUUCAAAUGCUCAAUUUGUUUAAGCCCAUUAAAGCUUUUCGGCAAUAUGCCCGUAAAUGAGUUCGAUGCCGCAUCAAAAACUGUUAAAUUUCGCAGCAUUCCAAUCUCAGUUGGGAGGCAUCCCGACAUAUCAUUGCUUGCAAAUAUAAUCUCAUUCAGAGUGUUCCCCAUCUGCCCAAUGCUGCGUGGAAUGCAGCCUGUAAAUUUGUUGCCGGCAAACACAAUAACGGAGGCCCGAGAGUGGCCCAGAGUUUCAGGAAUAUUGGAUGUGAACCGGUUAUGGUUCACAAACAACGCAUCAAGAUCCUUAUCGAAGAGUUCAGGAGGCAAUUCCCCUUCAAAUUCAUUAUACCUGAGAUCAAGGUACCUGAGAGCAGGAAUUGAUAGAACCACUGCUGGAAAAGGACCCACAAACCGAUUGUUACUAACAUCAAGCUCGUGGAGAAUUGUAAGCCUAGAGAAACUCUUGGGAAUGAUCCCGCAGAACCGGUUGGAAUUAAUGUGGAAAAGAGCAAGAUCAGUCAUCAAACCCAACUCCACUGGGAGAUACCCUGCAAUGUCAGCAUGGUUAAGAUCCACGCCAGCGACCACACUCAAUUUCGGGUUAUCAAGUGCUGGUGCACAGAAAACGCCCUUGUAAGCACAAACAUUGGCCCCUUCCCAGUUGGAGGUGGUGUUAAAUGGGUCAGAGUACAUAGCAUGUUUCCAAGCUUGGAGUGCAAUGUAGGCUUGCCGCAGCCUAGCGUUGGCAAAGGCUACUACAAGAUCUACCUCAUAUUCAAAGUCAUUGGGCAAGUCACCAUCUUUAGGAAUGGCUAAGAGUUGGCGAUGAGCAAUAAGAGAGGCUUCCUCAUCAGAUAGAGCCAAGGAGAAUGAUGACAAGGGAGACGAGAGGAGAAGAGAGAGCAACAGGAAGCAGCCUGAGGCCUGCAUUUUUUGGAGGGACUGCAAUAGGGCGCCACCUUGGAGAUGCCCAGAGCUGCUUAUAGGAAAGAGACGAUCAAUGUGGGGUACUGGUUCAAAACUUGGGGCUCACCCACGUGGAUUGGUAGCUUUUAAGAGGCUUUGCAACAAUCUCUCUGGCACCAGAAUACAAGGUGUUGUCCCUUACGCACAAUACAUUUCGCGGGUUUCGAAUAAUUUGUUUGAUUUAGAGGUACCCCCUUAUUUUUAAGUACGGUUUAGCAAUUUAGCCCUUCAAUAUUGGUCAUUGCCUAAAUAUAAAAUUAACCGUUAAUAAACUAACCAACAACCAACGACCAAGUCAACCACCAACUGCCAAAAUGUUUUCAUGGACCAAUGCCUCCUUUGCUUUGAGGUGAGACCUAUCUUAAGGAACCUAUGAUCAUGGGGCGACCGUUCCUCUGGUUGCUACUGGCGGAUAUUGGUUAGUCAUCUUGUGUCUAGAGAAGCUACAGGGUAAAUAUAGGGAAAUUGCUUAAAGUCCGUAGCCCAACUAGACGUUCCACAGCAAGUUUUCUCAAAAAUAAAAUCCAUUUAAAGAAUAAACUUCUACAGAAUAUGUAAGUAAUAAUAACAAUUUAAAUUUUACUUAGGAGGUAGGAAUUUGGACUGGGUCUGGUCUGUUCCUUUGGAUGUGGCUGGAUUUGGGCCCAUCCGAAGGUGACUAUGGCUCAAUGCAAGCCUGCGAGCUGGCCCAGUUUGGACCACCUCGUCCCUCCUACAGAGUCAUGAAUGAUGACUGAUGACUCGAGAGGCAAGACUCGUACAAUCUGGACGUAUCGAUACAGUAUUGCCUACAGAACAUCUAAUCCUCAGAGAAUCGAACUCAAAUUCGCAAGAAACACCUAAACGUACGUAUAAAAUGCAGAGUCUAAGACUCUAAUUUCUUGAGAUGUCUAGGAUGACUGAGCUUUCUUAAGUUCUCUGUCACCAUCAUCAGUUCUUUGCUUUCCAUUUCAAGAGUUUGGUUCCUCCUGUUAUCAUUGGUCAACCUGUGUUUUUCAUUGUAAAAUUUGGAAUCUUUCAACUGCCACUUGACAACUAGCCAAUGGGCUCAGAGUUUGCAGUAUGGAGUGAGGCUACAAGUUGUUCAUAGUUCUUAAUUGAUUGACCUAAUGUGGAUGAUUGGUCUAACAUGAUCUAAAACGUAGUUCGUAUGAAGCGUCAUCCAUUCAUUGAUUUAUUUUUGUAUGGAAUGAGGACUUGGACCACCCAACCCAGGACUUGCCAACUCACAUUGCCCACAGUGGCAUACAUGAAAAUCCACUCCCACAACCCAUUGAAAAUUACAUCCAUCUUUUAGUUGCUCCAUAAGAAAAGACAUCAC
rnacentral:lncRNA from 1 species